UCCCCGAUAACUCAGUUGGUAGAGUAGGCGGCUGUUAACCGCCCUGUCGCAAGUUCGAGUCUUGCUCGGGGAGCCA
rnacentral:tRNA from 1 species